GGGACUUCGGUCCCGAGUAAAGUGGCGCACGGGUGAGUAACACGUGGAUAAUCUGCCUCUAUGAUGGGGAUAACAGUUGGAAACGACUGCUAAUACCGAAUACGCUCAUGAUGAACUUUGUGAGGAAAGGUGGCCUCUGCUUGCAAGCUAUCGCAUAGAGAUGAGUCCGCGUCCCAUUAGCUAGUUGGUGGGGUAACGGCCUACCAAGGCAACGAUGGG
rnacentral:rRNA from 1 species